rnacentral:rRNA from 1 species
UAGGUGGGAGGCUUUGAAACCGGGAUGCUAGUUUCGGUGGAGCCGUCCUUGAAAUACCACCCUGGUUUGUUUGAGGUUCUAACCUUGGCCCGUGAAUCCGGGUCGGGGACAGUGCAUGGUAGGCAGUUUGACUGGGGCGGUCUCCUCCCAAAGUGUAACGGAGGAGUUCGAAGGUACGCUUGGUACGGUCGGACAUCGUACCUAAAGUGCAAUGGCAAAAGCGUGCUUAACUGCGAGACCGACAAGUCGAGCAGGUGCGAAAGCAGGACAUAGUGAUCCGGUGGUUCUGUAUGGAAGGGCCAUCGCUCAACGGAUAAAAGGUACUCUAGGGAUAACA